UACGUAGGGACCAAGCGUUGUCCGGAAUCAUUGGGCGUAAAGAGCGUGUAGGCGGCUUGUUAAGUCUUGCGUGAAAUCUCGGGGCUCAACCCCGAGCGGUCGUGAGAAACUGGCAGGCUAGAGUACUAAAGAGGGUCGCGGAAUUCCCGGUGUAGAGGUGAAAUUCGUAGAUAUCGGGAGGAACACCGGUGGCGAAGGCGGCGACCUGGGUAGAUACUGACGCUGAGGUGCGAAAGCGUGGGGAGCAAACAGG
rnacentral:rRNA from 1 species